rnacentral:rRNA from 1 species
GAAUCUUCCGCAAUGGACGAAAGUCUGACGGAGCAACGCCGCGUGAGUGAAGAAGGUUUUCGGAUCGUAAAACUCUGUUGUCGGAGAAGAACAAGUAGGAGAGUAACUGUUCCUACCUUGACGGUACCCGACCAGAAAGCCACGGCUAACUACGUGCCCGCAGCCGCGGUAAUACGUAGGUGGCAAGCGUUGUCCGGAUUUAUUGGGCGUAAAGCGAGCGCAGGUGGUUUCUUAAGUCUGAUGUGAAAGCCCACGGCUCAACCGUGGAAGGUCAUUGGAAACUGGGGAACUCGAAUGCAGAAGAGGAGAGUGGAAUUCCAUGUGUAGCGGUGAAAUGCGUAGAUAUAUGGAGGAACACCAGUGGCGAAGGCGACUCUCUGGUCUGUUAUUGACACUGAGGCUCGAAAGCGUGGGGAGCAAACAG